rnacentral:rRNA from 1 species
GAUGAACGCUGGCGGCGUGCCUAAUACAUGCAAGUCGAGCGAACGGACGAGAAGCUUGCUUCUCUGAUGUUAGCGGCGGACGGGUGAGUAACACGUGGAUAACCUACCUAUAAGACUGGGAUAACUUCGGGAAACCGGAGCUAAUACCGGAUGAUAUUUUGAACCGCAUGGUUCAAGAGUGAAAGACGGUCUUGCUGUCACUUAUAGAUGGAUCCGCGCUGCAUUAGCUAGUUGGUAAGGUAACGGCUUACCAAGGCAACGAUGCAUAGCCGACCUGAGAGGGUGAUCGGCCACACUGGAACUGAGACACGGUCCAGACUCCUACGGGAGGCAGCAGUAGGGAAUCUUCCGCAAUGGGCGAAAGCCUGACGGAGCAACGCCGCGUGAGUGAUGAAGGUCUUCGGAUCGUAAAACUCUGUUAUUAGGGAAGAACAAAUGUGUAAGUAACUGUGCACAUCUUGACGGUACCUAAUCAGAAAGCCACGGCUAACUACGUG